GCCUGGUUGGCUCAGUUGGUAGAGUAUAUAACUUAAUCUCAGGGUCAUGAGUUCAAAUCCCAUGUCUGGCA
rnacentral:tRNA from 1 species